rnacentral:rRNA from 4 species
UGGGGAAUAUUGCACAAUGGGCGCAAGCCUGAUGCAGCGACGCCGCGUGCGGGAUGGAGGCCUUCGGGUUGUAAACCGCUUUUGUUCAAGGGCAAGGCACGGUUUCGGCCGUGUUGAGUGGAUUGUUCGAAUAAGCACCGGCUAACUACGUGCCAGCAGCCGCGGUAAUACGUAGGGUGCAAGCGUUAUCCGGAUUUAUUGGGCGUAAAGGGCUCGUAGGCGGUUCGUCGCGUCCGGUGUGAAAGUCCAUCGCUUAACGGUGGAUCCGCGCCGGGUACGGGCGGGCUUGAGUGCGGUAGGGGAGACUGGAAUUCCCGGUGUAACGGUGGAAUGUGUAGAUAUCGGGAAGAACACCAAUGGCGAAGGCAGGUCUCUGGGCCGUUACUGACGCUGAGGAGCGAAAGCGUGGGGAGCGAACAGG